UGGGCAUUCGCCAAGCGGUAAGGCGCAAGAUUUUGAUUCUUGUAUUGCACUGGUUCGAAUCCAGUAUGCCCAG
rnacentral:tRNA from 1 species